AGUGAACGCUGGCGGUAGGCCUAACACAUGCAAGUCGAACGGCAGCACAGUAAGAGCUUGCUCUUACGGGUGGCGAGUGGCGGACGGGUGAGGAAUACAUCGGAAUCUACUUUUUCGUGGGGGAUAACGUAGGGAAACUUACGCUAAUACCGCAUACGACCUACGGGUGAAAGCAGGGGAUCUUCGGACCUUUCGCGAUUGAAUGAGCCGAUGUCGGAUUAGCUAGUUGGCGGGGUAAAGGCCCACCAAGGCGACGAUCCGUAGCUGGUCUGAGAGGAUGAUCAGCCACACUGGAACUGAGACACGGUCCAGACUCCUACGGGAGGCAGCAGUGGGGAAUAUUGGACAAUGGGCGCAAGCCUGAUCCAGCCAUACCGCGUGGGUGAAGAAGGCCUUCGGGUUGUAAAGCCCUUUUGUUGGGAAAGAAAAGCAGCAGGUUAAUACCCCGAUGUUCUGACGGUACCCAAAGAAUAAGCACCGGCUAACUUCGUG
rnacentral:rRNA from 1 species